rnacentral:rRNA from 1 species
UACAGAGGUCCCGAGCGUUGUUCGGAUUCACUGGGCGGAAAGGGUGCGUAGGUGGCAUGGUAAGUUUGAUGUGAAAGCUCAGGGCUCAACCCUGAAAUGGCAUUGAAUACUACUGUGCUGGAGGUUUGGAGGGGGGACUGGAAUUCUUGGUGUAGCAGUGAAAUGCGUAGAUAUCAAGAGGAACACCAGUGGCGAAGGCGAGUCCCUGGACAACACCUGACACUGAGGCACGAAAGCUAGGGGAGCAAACAGG